UACGUAGGGUGCAAGCGUUGUCCGGAAUUAUUGGGCGUAAAGAGCUUGUAGGCGGUUUGUCGCGUCUGCUGUGAAAUUUCGGGGCUCAACCCCGAACUUGCAGUGGGUACGGGCAGACUAGAGUGUGGUAGGGGAGACUGGAAUUCCUGGUGUAGCGGUGAAAUGCGCAGAUAUCAGGAGGAACACCGAUGGCGAAGGCAGGUCUCUGGGCCACUACUGACGCUGAGGGGCGAAAGCAUGGGGAGCGAACAGGA
rnacentral:rRNA from 1 species